GUGCUAUUAGGAGCACGAAGGCCUCUGUGCUUUUAAGCCAUUUUCGAUGAUAAAGCUUACGAUUCGACGAUCGGCCUUUUUAGACUUAAUCUAACGUAUUUGAAGUAUCUAGAAAAUAAUUUUUUUCGAUAUCAUUUACCUCGCAAUCGAAAGGGUUCAAAAUCAAUGGUUGAAAAUAAAAAUCUCACAAAAAGUGGUAAUAUAACACUAAAAUUUUUCGAUCAGAGAUAUUGAUCUUGCAAACGAUAUACAUCAAAAUUUUAAUAGUAUAAAAAUUUUAUAUCAAAAUUUUAUUUGAUUUGAAUACUUCUACACCGUUAAACUUGCAAACGAUAUACAUCAACUAUUAAAAAUUAUUGAUUUUAAACCCUUUCGAUCGCUAGGUAAAUGAUAUCGAAAAAUCGCAAAAUUUAUUUUCUAAAUACUUCAAAUACGAUAGAUCAAGUCUAAUGGAGCCGAUCGUCGAUUUGGAAGCUCCUUUGUUGAAAACGACUUAGGAGCACGGAAGCCUCUGUACUCCUAAUAACACGCAAGACCUCUCUCUCUCACACACACACACACACUCACUCUCUCUCUCUCUCUAUAUAUAUGGAAAAACUUCAAAAACUGCCCAUGUGGUUUCAUAGUUUCUCACUUUGCCCCCCUGUGGUUUAAAAUGUAUCAAUUUGCCUCCCUGUGGUUUCGUUUUUUUCUUUUUCUUAUCAAUUUUCUUAUUUUUUUUUCUUAAAUUAGUGAUAAAGUUAAAAUUGAAGGGUACUAGAGUGAAUAUUUGAUAAAUCUAGAUGGGUAUCUGAAGUUUUUUGUAUAUAAUUUAAUGAAAUAUUAACGAAAAAGCUACCCAAAAGAUAAAAACAAAACCACAGGGGGGGCAAUUUGAUACAUUUUAAACCACAUGAGGGUAAAGUGAGAAACUACGAAACCACAAGGGGCUUUUUGAAGUUU
rnacentral:lncRNA from 1 species